rnacentral:rRNA from 1 species
AGAUCGGGAUAACACCUGGAAACAGAUGCUAAUACCGGAUAACAACAGAUGAUGCCUAUCAACUGUUUAAAAGAUGGUUCUGCUAUCACUCUUGGAUGGACCUGCGGUGCAUUAGCUAGUUGGUAGGGUAACGGCCUACCAAGGCGAUGAUGCAUAGCCGAGUUGAGAGACUGAUCGGCCACAUUGGGACUGAGACACGGCCCAAACUCCUACGGGAGGCAGCAGCG